GCAAGUCUGGUGCCAGCAGCCGCGGUAAUUCCAGCUCCAACAGCGUAUAUUAAAGUUGUUGUGGUUAAAAAGCUCGUAGUCGAACCUUGGGCCUGGCUGGCCGGUCCCCCUCACCGGGUGCACUGAUCCAGCCGGGCCUUUCCCUCUGUGGAACCCCAUGGCCUUCACUGGCCGUGCGGGGGAAACAGGACUUUUACUGUGAAAAAAUUAGAGUGCUCCAGGCAGGCCUAUGCUCGAAUACAUUAGCAUGGAAUAAUAGAAUAGGACGUGUGGUUCUAUUUUGUUGGUUUCUAGGACCGCCGUAAUGAUUAAUAGGGAUAGUCGGGGACAUCAGUAUUCAAUUGUCAGAGGUGAAAUUCUUGGAUUUAUUGAAGACUAACUACUGCGAAAGCAUUUGCCAA
rnacentral:rRNA from 1 species